UAAUUUAUAUUUUAAUUAAGAUUAUUAGAAAUUUAUUUUUUAGUUAUGAUUGGGGUGAUUUUUAAAGAUUAUUAAUCUUUAAAAUUUUUUAAUAAAAAAGUUCCAUUAGUAGUGAUUUUUUGAUAAAAAUACUCUAGGGAUAACAGCGUUAUUAUUUUGGAUAGUUCAUAUAGAUAAAAUAGUUUGCGACCUCGAUGUUGGAUUAGGAUUCUUUUAUGAUGAAGAAGUUAUAAGGGAGAAGUUUGCUCAACUUUUAAAGUCCUACUUGAUCUGAGUUCAGCCCGGG
rnacentral:rRNA from 1 species